UACAGAGGAUGCAAGCGUUUAUCCGGAAUGAUUGGGCGUAAAGCGUCUGUAGGUGGCUUUUUAAGUCCGCCGUCAAAUCCCAGGGCCUCAACGUCUGGACAGGCGGUGGAAACUACCAAGCUGGAGUACGGUAGGGGCAGAGGGAAUUUCCGGUGGAGCGGUGAAAUGCGUAGAGAUCGGAAAGAACACCAACGGCGAAAGCAACUCUGCUGGGCCGACACUGACACUGAGAGACGAAAGCUAGGGGGAGCGAAUGGG
rnacentral:rRNA from 1 species